rnacentral:rRNA from 1 species
AUUGAACGCUGGCGGCAUGCCUUACACAUGCAAGUCGAACGGUAACGGGCCUUCGGGUGCCGACGAGUGGCGAACGGGUGAGUAAUACAUCGGAACGUGCCCGAUCGUGGGGGAUAACGAGGCGAAAGCUUUGCUAAUACCGCAUACGAUCUACGGAUGAAAGCAGGGGACCGCAAGGCCUUGCGCGGACGGAGCGGCCGAUGGCAGAUUAGGUAGUUGGUGGGAUAAAAGCUUACCAAGCCGACGAUCUGUAGCUGGUCUGAGAGGAUGAUCAGCCACACUGGGACUGAGACACGGCCCAGACUACUACGGGAGGCAGCAGUGGGGAAUUUUGGACAAUGGGCGCAAGCCUGAUCCAGCCAUGCCGCGUGCAGGAUGAAGGCCUUCGGGUUGUAAACUGCUUUUGUACGGAACGAAAAGCCUUCUUUUAAUACAGGAGGGUCAUGACGGUACCGUAAGAAUAAGCACCGGCUAACUACGUG